GCAGACUUGAAAAUGAAUCAGAUGACCCUGGAUCCUUUGAGAUUUUUUAUGAGUUGAUGACAAAUUCUCAAAUCUGCAAUUUUGUUUUAUGUUUAACUGGACCCCGUGGUGCAAGCUGGCCAAACACUCUCUCUGAGUGCUGCUGACAUGUGUUCAUUCCAAUAAAUUAACUGUCCGCUCCAAUCCGAAUCAGCUGGUUGAAAGAAGCUACCUUGCUGUUUUUAAACUGGACUUGCUAUUAGAAGAAAACAGGUGGGAACUUCCUUGCCUUCAUGUCAUUUUGACCCUCCAUUGGUCUUAGGGAGCAAUCACUAAAACCAACUGCAGAAUUGGGUUAAUAAUGAAGUGUACCAGGUACACCCCCCAUGCAACUAACUUCUCAGGUGAUUUUGUUAUUGCAGUUAGGAAAUAAAC
rnacentral:lncRNA from 1 species